CGUGAGCGAGGUACGGUGGUUAUGGCGGCGGCUGUGGUGGAGGUGGUUUUGGUGGAGUUGUUUUGGAAUCUACCUCACUCAUGUACGAAUCAAGGUUUACAGAAUUUAGAAUCGAGGUUUGGGAGGUACGCUGCCGACCCUCAAACCCGAUAACGAAUUGGAGCCGAUUUAGAUCUAUUUUGUGUUGCCGACUUCCGAACGACGUCGUUUCGGAGAUCGAGUGCGAGUCGGAGGUGGGCUCGACGAUGCCGUUUCGGAGUAGAAAUCGAGAUUGAUUUUUUCUGAUGAAGAAGACGUCGGAGAUGAUGGUGUGAAGCUGGUUGAGUGAAAUGUUUUGUUUAUUUUGGAGAAGAUGGCUUUUUUGAAAAUGGUAAGGAUUGAAUUGAUUUUUUUCGAAAACUUCAUUUUGGGCUGUAUUGAAUUUCGGGGGUGAAUCUGUAAUAUUUGAAAUUUAUAAUUUAAAGGGCAUUUUGGUCCUUUCGAGUCAAAAAUACACCCACAGUCGCACAAUCCGCGUGUGCAGCACACGAUAAGCUGG
rnacentral:lncRNA from 1 species